UUAACGGAGAGUUUGAUCCUGGCUCAGGACGAACGCUGGCGGCGUGCCUAAUACAUGCAAGUCGAGCGGACAGAAGGGAGCUUGCUCCCGGACGUUAGCGGCGGACGGGUGAGUAACACGUGGGCAACCUGCCCCUUAGACUGGGAUAACUCCGGGAAACCGGAGCUAAUACCGGAUAAUCCCUUUCUCCACCUGGAGAGAGGGUGAAAGAUGGCUUCGGCUAUCACUAGGGGAUGGGCCCGCGGCGCAUUAGCUAGUUGGUAAGGUAACGGCUUACCAAGGCGACGAUGCGUAGCCGACCUGAGAGGGUGAUCGGCCACACUGGGACUGAGACACGGCCCAGACUCCUACGGGAGGCAGC
rnacentral:rRNA from 1 species